CCGCAGGCCAGAUCAUCCAGAGCCCCGCCGUGGCCAAGGCCAGUGACGCUGGGACGGCCUCCGAGGCCCUGAGGUCCAUGAGCGAGGACCCGGACCCCGCGGUCAGCUGCCUGGCCACGCAGACCCUGCACGUCCUGGAAGCCAGCAGGAGCCAGCCGGCUCGGACCCGGACCUGCUGGCUCUGCUGCUGGAGACGCUGAGGGAGCCGCUCUGGACGGACGGGCGGGCGGACACCGCACCCUCGGGGGGCAGCCCAGAGCCGGUGGGUGGCUCCUGAGCCCGGGGCUGGAGGCGGAGGCCUGGGCCUGCGCAACCUUCACAAUAAAAGGAGGAACUUC